rnacentral:lncRNA from 1 species
CUAGAUUUUGACCCGCGCUUUUAAAGCGCGGGAUAAUAUUUUGAUUAAAUUUUUUUAUUUAACAGUUACUAAGUUAUGGUCUGAAUUUUAUUUUAUUUGAGUUUUGACAUACUUAACCGAGAGUAAUUUAUUUUAACUUUUCAUAGUGAUAGGCAUUCAGGUUUAAAGUUCGUCUCAGUUAGGGUUAUUCAGUUUUUAAGUUAUUGGGGUUGGGGUGUUAGGACCCGUUUAGGAGAACCAUACAUUUUUUGAAUUAGAUCAAUUCGGGCGAUCUGUAGUUCGAGUCGGGUUUUUAUUUUUUAUUAAAACCGAAGUAAGCCGAAUUAAAAUAGUUAGGCUUUAAUUUGGAUUUAAAGCAAAAAAUACAAAAAACGCAAAAAAAAACCCUGAGUUAAACUGAAAACCAGGUAAUUCAUGUAAUUUGGGAGGAGGGGGGGGGUGGAUAUUUUUUUUGGUAAAUUAUAUUCUAUACAGAUAUAAAUUAAUAUUAUAUUAUGUUUAAUAUUUGGAUACCCGUUUGAUUUUCAGUUUGGUUUUAGCUCUUUGGAUUUAGAAAAAUGGGAACCAUUCACAUUUCUGUAAAUCACGGUUACAAAUGGGAUGAUUAAAUAAUAAAUAAUGGGAUGAUUAAAUAAUAAAUACUUUCUCAAUAUAUAGUAUAGAUUAU